ACUUCAGUUCAACAGCCAUCUGAAGCCCACCUGUGAGCUGGUCCAGGAAAUGAUGGACUCUGAUUUCCACACCCCUUUCCUGUGAACUUGUCUCCAAUUUAGUCUGUCAAGGUCCCUUUCUUGUGAGUUAAUUUCUCCCUAGUGCUACUUCUCAGAUUGGCCAGUGACUCACAGAGUGGCACAAGUACAAAUCCAGCCUGCCUUGCAUCCAACACAGAUUCCAGGACCACUGAAACCAGCUGAGGCAUCCUGAAAGCCUAAGAUUGACCACACCAGAGGAACCAGACUGCCCUUCACAAGGAAACCUGGCGUGGAAACACAUUGCUUCCCUAACACUUUCCUGAAGGAGCUUGGACGACUUGACUCAGGCAGGUUGAGAGACCAGAAAGCCAUCCAGAGAGAGCAGGGACCCAGCCAUCCACCACCUGGUUCUACUCCCACCCUAAGGAUGGAAAUUAUCUGGUUCCACCCCUGGAUAUGAUCAACCUUCAUAGACUGUGCAUUAUACAUGUAGCCAUCUCUGCGACCUGCAAAGAUGAAAAGGGAAAGCAGGAGAUGGAAACUGGUCAGCAGCCUUCUGGUUUAUCAGCCACACUUACAAAGGUCAAAUGUGCAAAGCGUCAGAAGACAGUGGUUAGAGUGAGAUUCUACAUGCUCUCAAUGAAGAAUAAAGCAUGCAGGAAGAACCUUUCAAAAGGUUACAACCAGAGACCUGAAGGAAGCAAGGAAGAAAGCCACAUGGUUGUCAAAGAGAAGAGGAAAGGAGAUCACUAAGCUGGAUGACGUUUUCUGUUUCUUUGAAAACAGAGAAGAUGACAAGUUAGGGAGAGAUCAGAGGUCAUACUGUGAAGCACCUUUGGAUAAACGGCAGGGACUUUGGAUUUUCUUUUUGAAUAUAAGCAUAAUCCAUUGAAAGGUCUCAUGCAGGGAAGUGGCAAAACACUUUUAAAAUUUUUCAUCUUUUCUUUCUGAAGCAGAGUUCACUCUCCAUUUAUUUGUCUUCUUUGAUAUCUCUCAAUAGAAUGUUGCAGUUUUAGUAUUCUCCUAUUAAACAUUUGUUUAACUUUCUUGUUCUUCUAAAUAAUAA
rnacentral:lncRNA from 1 species